GCUUCCCUUUGAGAAAAAUGUGAGUAGGGAAGGAAAUAUGACAAACACAUUCAGCACUUUCCCAAGGCCUCAUAAUUAGAAUAGAAAUGGAAUUUGAAUCCUGACGCCUGAGGUUUAAGCAUAGGACACUUCAUUACGCCACAGCUUCCUCUGAGGGGAAGUCAUUGCAGGGAAUGAUCUGGACUCUUAUCAAACACCUUGCUCUCCAGUGCUUGUCUGAGAUCCAGAAAGAGGUCAAGUCCAUUGACACACCAGCAGAGUUUAGGUGGAUUACUCAUCUCGUUCCUCCCCCAGAGGAAAUGGACAGACUGCACUCAACAGGCACAUGGUACAGGAAACCCGCGCGGUUAGAGAGAAACUGUGGAGAAAGCAAGCCUGGAG